GACGUGGGGGGCGAGCGUUGUCCGGAAUUACUGGGCGUAAAGGGCGUGUAGGCGGCCUGCCAAGUCAGCUGUGAAAUUCCUCGGCUCAACCGGGGGUCUGCAGUUGAAACUGGUGGGCUUGAGUGCAGGAGAGGAGGGUGGAAUUCCUGGUGUAGCGGUGAAAUGCGUAGAUAUCAGGAGGAACACCGGUGGCGAAGGCGACCUUCUGGCCUGUUACUGACGCUGAGGCGCGAAAGUACACCGGUGGCGA
rnacentral:rRNA from 1 species